UACGUAGGGCGCAAGCGUUGUCCGGAAUUAUUGGGCGUAAAGAGCUCGUAGGCGGCCUGUUGCGUCCGCUGUGAAAACCCGGGGCUUAACCCCGGGCUUGCAGUGGAUACGGGCAGGCUGGAGGCAGGCAGGGGAGAACGGAAUUCCCGGUGUGAGCGGUGAAAUGCGCAGAUAUCGGGAGGAACACCGGUGGCGAAGGCGGUUCUCUGGGCCUGUACUGACGCUGAGGAGCGAAAGCGUGGGGAGCGAACAGGAUUAGAUACCCCGA
rnacentral:rRNA from 1 species